CAUUGUGACGAGUGAUCAAGUCAUUGAUGCAGCAAGUCGGCUCACUAUUGGACAAAUUGACUCCAACACCUACAAACAAAAUUAUGACAUGCAGGCCAAUAUUUUACAAUUUCUAUUAACCUUACAGCAAUUUUAGAUUCUAUCAACGAUGUCACUAUCAAACCUCCGAUUUUGGCUGUACUACCAGCAUAGAUAUCAUUUGGCCAUUUCAAUCUCAGAUCUAUAUCCUAGAAACAUCACAUAGACUAUUGCAGCAGCAACUAAAUGCUGGAUGAGUGAUAACCGCCCACCCAAUACAGAAUUUAAUGCAAUAUGUAACUGCAACGUAAACAUUCCGCAACCUUUUGGACUCAGCCACACAUUCUUGCUCCGCCCUAUUAUACAUGAAAAUAUCAACUUGUUAAUAUGCUAUAAAAUCCAAGUAUCAUAAAUUUGCAUCAGUUAUCUAUAAUGAGUAGAUAAAAACAUAACUGAUUUGUCUUAAGAGUACAUACCUCAUGUCGCCCCAAGAAAAAACCAGGGCUGUAAGCUGGAAGUACACGGGGUUCGGAACAGACAUCCAUUCCAAGAUGUGAGCUUAGCAGAUCACUGAAUAUUUCAAGUCUUGCUGAAUUACUCUGUUUUAGAGCUGAAAAUUUGCUCUCUUCAAAUUCAUACUGUGAGGGAUCCACUUCCAGAUGAAUCUGAGAAAAUACAGCUUUGCCACCAGUAGCUGGAAGAUUAGCCAGUAGAAGACUCGGUGUGUGCCAUGUUUCUUCAGACCCUAAUACUCUCACAUGGAAGAUCUUCAAUCAAGUCAUAGGGAGCAUGAUCACAGUAAAGAGAUGUGUGCAGCUUAUAGAAAAAGCUGGAAUUUUCGUGCAAGAGAUUCAUAUUUGCUGGUAUUUCUUGUAAAGUACAUUGAGUACAUGAUUGAGUAAAAUGGAAUGUAAUGAUAGAAUGCAAAAUAAAAUGUCGGGUCUAAUGUAAUAUGGCUAAGGAGCGUAUAUGUUCCCAAAUCAUAGCACAUAAUAUCAGAUCGUAGAUCAUACUGAUUAGUUGAAUUUGAAAAGAAGUGGAUUUUACAAGGUACCUGCAAUCGAAAAAUGAAGAAAGAUGUUCAGUCAGUUUUAGAACGAAUCGUGGAGCCAGAUGCGUAUUCAUACAAUAAAUUAUAUCCAUACGAACGUUUUUCUCAUUAAUAUGUGGGUUUUAUCCUAAAUUUUCGUAUUCUAUUAGUAUCUUUAUACUCCCCAUGUAACCCAUUGUCAAAAGGUAGCAAGUAUUACACGUAAUAUAACUGAAUCACUUAAUUUCAAUGUAAUACGAAUUGUACCGAAAUUGAAAUGAAAUUCGGUUACUGA